UCACAAACUAUGGCUCUGGUUAUAGCUAUUUUCCCAGGCAAUGCAGACUGGGCUGGAUUCAUCAGGGUUUCCUUUAUUUCCUGUCAGGAAUUUGCUAGAUUUACAGUAGCUCACCUUGUGAUGGAUCUUUAUAAGUUAACGUCAUUAGUGAACAGAGAAGCUCCCUAUGUUAAGUCACCUAGCCUAGUUUAGUGAUGCAGAAAAAUGUACAGAAGAGUACAAUUGAUCUCUGACAGUUGCCUAUAGCUGCAGGGCGAUGUCUGCCCUUAAUGCUGACAUUUCCACAUGCUUUCAUCACAUUUAGGAGCUGCUCAGCCGUUUACCAGAACAGUUGCCGCAGUAGAGCUGAUUUUUCCAGAGAGAAUUGCUAUCAUUAUUAUUAUGGUCUUGAGGGAGACAACAAUGCUCAAUAUGCAGGUAGCUGUCAUUUUCUGGGGAAUCUCUAUGUUUCCAAGCAUUGGGUACAGCUAUGAGCUCCAGGAUACCAUCCAUUCUUUGAAAGAGGAGAAUGUUCACCUUCACCACCGUCUGGAAAAUCUCACCCGCACUCUCCGUGAGCUGAAGCAUCUGCUCUUCGAUCACUCACGAGACACUGGAGGAAAACACAACAGUGAUGCACUGAAUGCCUGGAAUGAAUGGACACAACAUGGUAUCAGUCCUGAGACACAUCAACUGUUGGAGCAGGCUUUCUGCUGGCCGGAUCUUCAUGGAGCUGCCGGGCCUAUCUUCAUAUUUCCUCCUCACUUCCUCCUUUCUCCAAUCAUUGUCUGUUUCCUUCUUCUGUAAACUUUCAUCUGGAUCCUGGCAGCACUGUUGACGAUGCAUUGGAGCUUCUGGAGACUCCUGCCAUGGCUCCCGAGGAACAGGGCAUUGCAGUAGUAAUGUGUUCAUUACAGGCAGUCACUAUUGCUGUUUUCUGAAUGUGCCUCACCAAACAAUGGUGUUGAUAAUUUUUUGAUGAAGUGUAAAUUACAGUCUUUCCGUAUGUAAGACAACACAUUAUUCUAAAUGGGCAAAGUUUUCACAAUAUUAUUUUAGUGAUUGGUGUUGCCUUGCAGGCAUUCUCAUUAGCCUCAUUUAAAGGGAAACAGGACAGCCCUUUCCAUGAUGAACAGUCCAUUAACAGAUCCGCUUUUAUAGAUUGUCUUAUACAGCUGUCUGUUUUAGUUACUCCAGUAGAGGCAAGUUGCUGGAAAUGUUAGAUUUUGCCUCUAUACUAUAUGUUGCAUUUUUGUAAUAAA